rnacentral:rRNA from 1 species
UACGGAGGGUGCAAGCGUUGUCCGGAUUUAUUGGGUUUAAAGGGUGCGUAGGCGGUUCUUUAAGUCUGGGGUGAAAGCCCGUUGCUCAACAACGGAACUGCCCUGGAAACUGGAGGACUUGAGUACAGACGAGGGUGGCGGAAUGGAUGCUGUAGCGGUGAAAUGCAUAGAUAGCAUCCAGAACCCCGAUUGCGUAGGCAGCUGCCUAGGCGACAUCUGACACUGAGGCACGAAAGCGUGGGGAGCGAACAGG